AGAGUUGCGUCUGGACGUCCCGA
rnacentral:ncRNA from 2 species